CUGGUGCUUGGUCGGGCCAGCCUGCUAGCUAACACUAUCUAUCACAAGUGAGCCAACUCUCAAUCCAAAAUGGCGACGACAAAAAGACGGAAGUCGUAGCAGGGAGCCGUGAGCACAGGAUGAAUGGCCAAAAUGGUUCCAUCACUUCCAGUACAACAGUGCGAGGUCCAGUCAUCACCAGCCUGGUCAUGGUCCUGUAGUCCAGGUCGAGAACACACUGUCCGUUCACCUGGCACACAAACUGCUGCACCUACAUCAGCAGCUGCUGCUGGACUUCCAGGGUCAACGGCCUGCACAUAACAGGGAGCCCGGCCUCUGACGACAAAACCCCAGCCCAGGGGGUCUCCUAUCACCUGUGAUCAUGGUGAGAGAGACAUCACACAUUCAGGAGGAACCAAAUGGAAUCUGUAUAGUUUGGAUGUAGUCAGAUAUAACUUAAUUUGUUCACAUGGAUGAAAUAAUCAUCUUUCUAUGAACGGGCCAAAAGCCUGAUCUCAGAACGUUUCCGUCAAAGUAACUUAGAUAGAGUCUUUAAGAUUCAAGAUUCACUUUAUUGCCAUUCACACCACACACUAAACAUGACUUUGCAUCCAGCUCACAAAUGCAAUUGCUAAGGUUUGCCGAGUAUGUAUUAAAGCUGUCUAAAGUAAAAAAGUAGUUAUAAUAUAAGUCAAACUGAGGUACAAACAGACAAUAGGAUAUUGCAGGUAACUGAAUGAAAUUACAUGUUGAAUAAAUUGUUAAAUACGAUGUAAACUGACACAAGGAUUAUUGCGCAUAUUUGAUGAAAUUGCAGGUACUGAUAAUGGAUAAAUACCACAGACAUGGUAUAUUGUAAUGUACUGUAAACAGAGGGUAUAUAAUAUUUAAUGGUAUAACCACUUUUAGACAUUGAGGGAAUAAUGUCCAGGUUUAAGGGAAAUAAUGCAAUAAACUUGUAAAAAAAAAACAUAAUUUUAAGAUCAUAAGUAGGUCAGCAACUCACCGUCAACACUUUCUUGAUGAAGGGUGCACCAGGUGCCAAUAAUUCUUCACAUGUAACGUGUCUUGCAAGGACUGUAAAAUCAUGAAAAGAUUUAGUUUGCACACUUUCACAAGCAAUUUUGAAUAUACUAAAAACUAAGACUGUAGUCAGAUGAACAUGAACUAUGCACUCGCCUGAUUUAGGGUUGCAUCUCACCACUGAGGCGGAGGAUAACUGGGCAAGAGGUGGAAAUCCAGCAGAGUGAAGCUGAAGGGAAUUCAAGCUGCCCCUGCGCCCACUUGUAGCUAGUUUCAGGUCUGUACUCGACCCCACUAUAAUUGAAUCAGUAGGGUAGUUAUUAUGCUGUAAUUAUUAUUCGCAAAGAGGGUAGAAUUUCAUUUUUUACCAGAGUUGAAA